UACAGAGGUCCCGAGCGUUGUUCGGAUUUAUUGGGCGUAAAGGGGGCGUAGGCGGCGGAGUAAGUUGGGUGUGAAAUCCCGGGGCUCAACCUCGGAAUGGCAUUCAAUACUGCUUCGCUAGAGUACUGGAGAGGAGGCUGGAAUUUACGGUGUAGCAGUGAAAUGCGUAGAUAUCGUAAGGAAGGCCGGUGGCGAAAGCGAGCCUCUGGACAGUUACUGACGCUGAUGCACGAAGGCCAGGGGAGCAAACGGG
rnacentral:rRNA from 1 species